rnacentral:rRNA from 1 species
UACGUAGGUGGCAAGCGUUGUCCGGAUUUACUGGGCGUAAAGAGCGCGCAGGCGGUCGUUCAAGUCGCGUGUGAAAGCCCCCCGGCUCAACUGGGGAGGGUCACGCGAUACUGAUCGACUCGAAGGCAGGAGAGGGUAGUGGAAUUCCCGGUGUAGUGGUGAAAUGCGUAGAUAUCGGGAGGAACACCAGUGGCGAAGGCGGCUUACUGGUCCGGUUCUGACGCUGAGGCGCGAAAGCGUGGGGAGCAAACAGG